ACACAAGUUUCCUUGUGGUUCAUCGAAGCCAAUCAGAUUAUGUCUGGAAACUCUUGCUUUCAGCUCAUCCACAUCUUUCACCUGUGCCUGCAAAGCUAGCUCUUGAGCACAACUUUCAAAAUCAUCCAGCUUAUCUACCCAAACCUGACAGUUUGUUGACGAAAGAUGAUGUGAGGGGAUAUCUCAAAAAGUUGUGGACGGAUCUGGAUGAAAUUUUCUGGACAGGUUGGUCUUGGGGUCUAUUUGGCUGCCAUCUUGGAUUUUGAAAUGCCCAAUUAUUGAAAAACAGAAAUUUUUAUAACAUUUGAACUAAACAUCCGAGAAAUACAAUUGAAACAUCUAUUCCAUACAAUUUUGACAUGACAAAUUUAUUUACAAUAUCAUUUUUAAUAUGGGGGGGGGGGGGGGGGGGGGGGGGGGGGGGGGGGGGGGGGGGGGGGGGAAAAAACAUGCCAAAGGAAUCAUAUAUGCCUUAUGUUGGGUCCAUGGUAGUUAAUUGCCACAUAUAAACUGAGCUUGGCUUCUUCAACCCUGUCAAGAAGCUGAAACUUCACACAAUGGAGGCCAGCAAUGAAAAGGCACCACUAACAUCCUCCCAGGGAAAGUUAAUCCAGUAACAGGAGCAGGGAGAUCUGGCCUUCCAGCUGCUGAUUAAGUCUCAACUUAUGAAUGAGCCCAUCAACCUCUCUGAGCUCAUGAAGUUCUCUCUCACACCUGUUCCUCACAGCCUUGGCACCCCUAAUGGAUUUUUUUUGCAAAGACAAAUAAGGCCACCAUGUUCCACUAUCUCCUGAGUGACCAUUCAGAUGAAGUGCAUUAUCCUCAAAAUGCACUCUACAUCCAGAAUGGGAAUGCCCUUAUCCAUGGCCUAAAGGACUUGCCAUCUAGCUUUGGUGCAAUCUGUCUGAAAGUACUUGAUAAGGUGGUUUCAAAGAAACAUGGCUUUGUAUUCUCAACUGAUUCGUAUUUCAAAGACUCCAUCAAAGCACAGGAGAGGAGACGCCGUGGUAUGUUACAGAAGCUGCACAUUGAUGGACCAGCCACAAGAAGACACCCAUAUAUGAACACAUUUCUCCAGAAUGAUGAGAACAAAAGACAAUUGUGUGAUCUUCUUCUGAAGGUCUGGAGUAGCAGAGAUGCAGCUUCAAGACUGGAGGGAUGUUUGACUGCUGUGCUCAUUGUGCAGGGCAAGACCUAUGAGCUGACAGGUCAAGAUGGCAAGGUUGAAGCAUCAGAGAUCCACAGCCUGAUGUCAAAUCAGGAGACAGACACUCAUGUGAUCCUCUAUCUCAACUAUGCUGUAGAGCUUGGUUAUAAGAGUGCUGUUGUCUGCACACCUGACACAGACAUCUUCUUCUUACUUCUGCACUAUGCUUUGGAUGUGAAGCUCAAGAUUUACCUUCAGACAGGUGUUGGGAAACAGACGCAUUGUGGAUGUCACUUCUGUUGCUCGCACACUUUGAUGUGACCACUGUACAGCACUUAUGGGUCUCUAAUGUUUUACUGGAGAACAUUGUACCAUUGCCUUCAAAGGCAAAGGCUAGAUUGGUCCACUGAAGAAACUCCAGAAGUACCCAAGGUUCCAAGCAGCAUUCAAGCAGGUGGGCGUAUAUUGGAGGGUGAAAGACA
ensembl:lincRNA